CCCUUAGAUGUUCUGGGCCGCACGCGCGCUACACUGAUUCAUGCAACAAGUUUUGUCCUUGGCUGAUAGGCCUGGGUAAUCUUUGAACGUGAAUCGUGAUGGGGAUAGAUGAUUGCAAUUAUUCAUCUUCAACGAGGAAUUCCUAGUAAACGCAAGUCAUCAGCUUGCAUUGAUUACGUCCCUGCCCUUUGUACACACCGCCCGUCGCACCUACCGAUUGAAUGGUCCGGUGAAAUCUUCGGAUCUGAGAGAUGUCUGAUUAAUUUCGGACGCCUUUUGGAAAAGUUGCUUAGACCUUACCAUUUAGAGGAAGGUGAAGUCGUAACA
rnacentral:rRNA from 1 species